rnacentral:rRNA from 1 species
AACGAACGCUGGCGGCAUGCCUAACACAUGCAAGUCGAACGAGACCUUCGGGUCUAGUGGCGCACGGGUGCGUAACGCGUGGGAACCUGCCCUUAGGUUCGGAAUAACUCCCCGAAAGGGGUGCUAAUACCGGAUAAUGUUUUCGGACCAAAGAUUUAUCGCCUUUGGAUGGGCCCGCGUUGGAUUAGCUAGUUGGUAGGGUAAAAGCCUACCAAGGCGACGAUCCAUAGCUGGUCUGAGAGGAUGAUCAGCCACACUGGGACUGAGACACGGCCCAGACUCCUACGGGAGGCAGCAGUGGGGAAUAUUGGACAAUGGGCGAAAGCCUGAUCCAGCAAUGCCGCGUGAGUGAUGAAGGCCUUAGGGUUGUAAAGCUCUUUUACCCGGGAUGAUAAUGACAGUACCGGGAGAAUAAGCGCCGGCUAACUCCGUG